UACGUAGGGUGCGAGCGUUAAUCGGAAUUACUGGGCGUAAAGCGUGCGCAGGCGGUUCUGAAAGUCAGCUGUGAAAGCCCCGGGCUUAACCUGGGAAUUGCGGUUGAAACUACAGGGCUAGAAUCUGGCAGAGGGGGGUGGAAUUCCACGUGUAGCAGUGAAAUGCGUAGAGAUGUGGAGGAACACCGAUGGCGAAGGCAGCCCCCUGGGCUGAGAUUGACGCUCAGGCACGAAGGCGUGGGGAGCAAACAGG
rnacentral:rRNA from 1 species